AGCUCCAAGAGCAUAUAUUAAAGUUGUUGCAGUUAAAAAGCUCGUAGUUGGAUUUCUGGUUUAAUGCACCUGGCCCGCGGCCAAUAGGCUUGUGAGUGCCGGUGUGCGUUUACCAUCCUUCUAGAAAACGAUUCUGCCAUUAACUUGGUGGGAUCGCGAUCUAGAUCUUUUACUUUGAAAAAAUUAGAGUGUUUAAAGCAGGCGGAAAGUCGGAAUAUAUUAGCAUGGAAUAAUAAUCUAGGACUUCGGUUCUAUUUUGUUGGUUUAUAAAACUGAAGUAAUGAUUGAUAGGGACAGUUGGGGGUGCUAGUAUUGGCCGGCCAGAGGUGAAAUUCUUGGAUUCGGUCAAGACUAACUUAUGCGAAAGCAUUCACCAAGGAUGUCUUCU
rnacentral:rRNA from 1 species